GACGAACGCUGGCGGCGUGCUUAACACAUGCAAGUCGAACGGAAAGGCCCUGCUCUUGUGGGGUGCUCGAGUGGCGAACGGGUGAGUAACACGUGAGUAACCUGCCCUUGACUUUGGGAUAACUUCAGGAAACUGGGGCUAAUACCGGAUAGGAGCUCCUGCUGCAUGGUGGGGGUUGGAAAGUUUCGGCGGUUGGGGAUGGACUCGCGGCUUAUCAGCUUGUUGGUGGGGUAGUGGCUUACCAAGGCUUUGACGGGUAGCCGGCCUGAGAGGGUGACCGGCCACAUUGGGACUGAGAUACGGCCCAGACUCCUACGGGAGGCAGCAGUGGGGAAUAUUGCACAAUGGGCGGAAGCCUGAUGCAGCAACGCCGCGUGCGGGAUGACGGCCUUCGGGUUGUAAACCACUUUCGCCUGUGACGAAGCGUGAGUGACGGUAAUGGGUAAAGAAGCACCGGCUAACUACGUG
rnacentral:rRNA from 1 species